rnacentral:rRNA from 1 species
AGUGAACGCUGGCGGCAGGCCUAACACAUGCAAGUCGAACGGCAGCACGGCAGUAGCAAUACUGUGGGUGGCGAGUGGCGGACGGGUGAGGAAUACAUCGGGAUCUACCCUGUUGUGGGGGAUAACGUAGGGAAACUUACGCUAAUACCGCAUAAGAACUGAGGUUGAAAGCGGCGGACCGCAAGGCGUCGCGCGAUUGGAUGAACCGAUGUCCGAUUAGCUAGUUGGCGGGGCAAAGGCCCACCAAGGCGACGAUCGGUAGCUGGUCUGAGAGGACGACCAGCCACACUGGAACUGAGACACGGUCCAGACUCCUACGGGAGGCAGCAGUGGGGAAUAUUGGACAAUGGGCGCAAGCCUGAUCCAGCCAUGCCGCGUGGGUGAAGAAGGCCUCGGUUGUAA